CUCUGUGGGUCUGAUCCAAAGCCAAGUGAAGUCAAUGGGAGUCUUUCCAUUGAUGUCAAUGGAGUUUGGGUCAGGCCUUUUUAAA
rnacentral:pre_miRNA from 1 species